rnacentral:lncRNA from 1 species
UAAUUUAUUUUGUUUCUACUUACAACAAAAUACUUAUUGUUGUUUUUUUGUUUUGUUUUCUGCAUUAUUUAUUUUCUUUUGUUUUUUCUCUAUUUUUUAAAUCUUUUUGCUUCUAGUUUUAGGAAAAUUAUAAACUUUCUGUUAGUGCCAUUACUAAUUUUCAAAUUUGAAAACACUUUUUUUUUGUUUUCUUUCUUGCUUUAUUUAAUUUAUUUUGUUUCUACUUACAACAAAAUACUUAUUGUUGUUUGUUUGUUUUGUUUUCUGCAUUANNNNNNNNNNNNNNNNNNNNNNNNNNNNNNNNNNNNNNNNNNNNNNNNNNNNNNNNNNNNNNNNNNNNNNNNNNNNNNNNNNNNNNNNNNNNNNNNNNNNNNNNNNNNNNNNNNNNNNNNNNNNNNNNNNNNNNNNNNNNNNNNNNNNNNNNNNNNNNNNNNNNNNNNNNNNNNNNNNNNNNNNNNNNNNNNNNNNNNNNNNNNNNNNNNNNNNNNNNNNNNNNNNNNNNNNNNNNNNNNNNNNNNNNNNNNNNNNNNUGCAUUAUUUAUUUUCUUUUGUUUUUUGCUUUAUUUUUUAAUUCUUUUUGCUUUUAGUUUUAGCAAAAAUUAUAAACUUUCUGUUAGUGCCAUUACUUUUCAAAUUUGAAAACACAUUUUUUUGUUUUCUUUCUUGCUUUAUUUAUUUUAUUUUGUUUCUACUUACAACAAAAUACUUAUUGUUGCUAUUUUUAAUUAUUACGAGGGCCGAACCAUAAGACAUUUCAAAUGAACUCUGAAAAAGUUGAAAGUUGGCAUGGUAUCAUAAAUUGACCCACACAUAGCAUGUGCAUGUACAAAACGAACAAUGGUAUCAUACUCAUCAGUUACAAUGGUAUCAUAAACGAACAAUAGUUGCGGGAGAAAGUCUUCACUUUUUCUUCGCUUGCGUCAUUUGCUUAUUGCGCCGUAACCAUGGAUAAUCUUCAUCGUUUAUCAGGAUGCUGGGGUCAGCCUUGACUUUAAAGGGAGGAAUUUCAUGAAACUUUUCAUAAUCUUCAGACAUGUCUGUCUUGUCCUCCACUCCCACGAUGUCCCUUUUUCCUGAAAGAACUAUGUGGCGCUUUGGCUCAUCGUAUGAUGUAUUUGCUUCCUUAUCUUUUCUCUUUCUCGGUCUACUGGACAUGUCCUUCACAUAGAUAACCUGUGCCACAUCAUUGGCUAGGACGAACGGUUCGUCAGUGUACCCAAGAUUUUUCAAGCGUGCCUUUUCCAGUCAGUCUCCCCUCAUACCGCGAUUUAGGGAGACCUAUCUUCUUAAGGCCAGGAAUGAAGUCAACACAAAACCCGAUGACAUCCUCUGUUUGAUGGCCCAUGGAGAUGCUUCCUUCUGGCCUAGCGCGGUUACGGACAUAUUUCUUUAGGACUCCCAUGAACCUCUCAAAGGGGUACAUAUUGUGUAGAAAUACAGGGCCCAGAAUGACAAUCUCGUCAACUAGAUGAACAAGAACGUGUGUCAUGAUAUUGAAGAAGGAUGGUGGGAACACCAGCUCGAAACUGACAAGACAUUGCACCACAUCACUCCUUAGCCUUGGUAUGGUUUCUGGAUCGAUCACCUUCUGAGAUAUUGCAUUGAGGAAUGCACAUAGCUUCACAAUGGCUAAUCGGACGUUUUCCGGUAGAAGCCCCCUCAAUGCAACCGGAAGCAGUUGCGUCAUAAUCACGUGGCAGUCAUGAGACUUUAGGUUCUGAAACUUUUUCUCUGCCAUAUUUAUUAUUCCUUUUAUAUUCGACGAGAAGCCAGUCGGGACCUUCAUACUAAGCAGGCAUUCAAAGAAGAUUUCCUUCUCUUCUUUGGUAAGAGCAUAGCUGGCAGGACCUUCAUACUGCUUUGGAGGCAUGCCGUCUUUUUCGUGCAAACGUUGCAGGUCCUCUCGUGCCUCAGCUGUAUCUUUUGUCUUCCCAUACACGCCCAAGAAGCCUAGCAGGUUCACGCAAAGGUUCUUCGUCACGUGCAUCACGUCGAUCGAAGAGCGGACCUCUAGGUCUUUCCAGUAGGGUAGGUCCCAAAAUAUAGAUUUCUUCUUCCACAUGGGUGCGUGUCCCUCAGCGUCACUCGGAACAGCUAGUCCGCCGGGACCCUUUCCAAAGAUUACGUGUAAAUCAUUGACCAUAGCAAGUACGUGAUCACCGGUACGCAUGGCGAGCUUCUUCCGGUGAUCUGCCUCGCCUUUGAAAUGCUUGCCUUUCUUUCGACAUUGAUGGUUGGUCGGAAGAAAUCGACGAUGGCCCAGGUACACAUUCUUCCUGCAGCUUGCCAGGUAUAUACUAUCAGUGUCAAGUAAACAGUGCGUGCAUGCGUGGUAUCCCUUGUUUGUCUGUCCUGAAAGGUUACUGAGAGCGGGCCAAUCGUUGAUGGUCACGAACAGCAACGCCUUUAAGUUAAAUUCCUCCUGUUUGUGCUCAUCCCACGUACGUACACCGUUUCCAUUCCACAGCUGUAAAAGUUCUUCAACUAAUGGCCUUAGGUACACAUCAAUGUCAUUGCCGGGUUGCUUAGGACCUUGGAUGAGAACUGGCAUCAUAAUGAACUUCCGCUUCAUGCACAUCCAAGGAGGAAGGUUAUACAUACAUAGAGUCACGGGCCAGGUGCUGUGAUUGCUGCUCUGCUCCCCGAAAGGAUUAACGCCAUCCGCGCUUAAAGCAAACCAUACGUUCCUUGGCUCACUUGCAAACUCAUCCCAGUACUUUCUCUCGAUUUUUCUCCACUGCGACCCGUCAGCCGGUGCUCUCAACUUCCCGUCUUUCUUACGGUCCUCACUGUGCCAUCGCAUCAACUUGGCAUGCUCUCCGUUUCUGAACAGACGUUUCAACCGUGGUAUUAUAGGAGCAUACCACAUCACCUUCACAGGAACCCUCUUCCUGGGGGGCUCGCCGUCAACAUCACCAGGGUCAUCUCGUCUGAUCUUAUACCGUAAUGCACCGCAUACCGGGCAUGCGUUCAGAUCCUUGUACGCACCGGGGUAGAGGAUGCAGUCAUUAGGGCAUGCAUGUAUCUUCUGCACCUCCAAUCCUAGAGGGCAUACGACCUUCUUUGCUGCGUAUGUACUGUCGGGCAAUUCGUUAUCCUUUGGAAGCUUCUUCCUCAAUAUUUUAAGUAGCUUCUCAAAUCCUUUAUCAGGCACAGCAUUCUCUGCCUUCCACUGCAGCAAUUCCAGUACGGUACCUAGCUUUGUGUUGGCAUCUUCGCAAUUGGGGUACAACCCUUUUUUGUGGUCCUCUAGCAUGCGAUCGAACUUCAGCUUCUCUUUUUGACUUUCGCAUUGCGUCCUUGCAUCGACAAUGACCCGGCGGAGAUCAUCAUCAUCGGGCACAUCAUCUGGUUCCUCUUGAUCUUCAGCAGCUUCUCCCGUUGCAGCAUCAUCGUGCACAUCGUCUGGUUCCUCUUGAUCUUCUGGAGCAUCACCGUAUUCAGGGGGCACAUAGUUGUCAUCGUACUCUUCUUCUUCGCCGUCUUCCACCAUAACCCCUAUUUCUCCGUGCCUCGUCCAAACAUUAUAGUGUGGCAUGAAACCCUUGUAAAGCAGGUGGGUGUGCAGGAUUUUCCGGUCAGAGUAAGACUUCGUAUUCCCACAUAUAGGGCAUGGACAACACAUAAAACCAUUCUGCUUGUUUGCCUCAGCCACUUCGAGAAAAUUAUGCACGCCCUUAAUGUACUCGGAGGUGUGUCUUGAACCGUACAUCCAUUGCCGGUUCAUCUGUGUGCAUUAUAUAUAAUUAAGUGUGUCAAAAAUCAUUAGAGAGAUCAUGAAUAGAUAAUUAAUUAAGUGACCAAAUUAAUAGAAGUUCAUCAUCACAUUAAAACCAAAGUACAUACAUAGUUCUCAUCUAACAACAUAAAUCUCUGCAGAGCAUCUAAAUUAAUUAAACCAUACACUGAAACUAUGUAAAACAUUUCAAUGCGAAAACAAAUGCGAUCAUAAUCAUAACCAAUGUAACAACUGAUCCAACGACAUAAUGAUACCAAGCCUCGGUAUGAAUGGCAUAUUUUCUAAUCUUUCCAAUCUUCAAGCGCAUUGCAUCCAUCUUGAUCUUGUGAUCAUCGACGACAUCCGCAACAUGCAACUCCAAUAUCAUCUUCUCCUCCUCAAUUUUUCUAAUUUUUUCCUUCAACAAAUUGUUUUCUUCUUCAACUAAAUUUAACCUCUCGACAAUAGGGUCGGUUGGAAUUUCCGGUUCAACAACCUCCUAGAUGAAUAAAAUCUAUGUCACGUUGGUCGGCAUAAUUGUCAUAAAUAAUAAAUGAACCAAUAGUUAUGAAAAGAUAAUAUAUACCACAUCCGAAUCAUAGACAGGACGAGGGCCGACGGGGGCGGAUACCAAAACCAUCGCACUAUAUAAGAUGCAAUAAUAAAAGUAAGAAAAUUAUACAAGUAUAUAUCUAUCUAAACAUACAAAUAAGAAUAUUUUUCCUUUCGGAAAUAAGAUAAGAACAAGAGGCUCACCACGGUGGUGCCGCCAAUGAGAUCGGUGCGGGUGAUCGACGACGUUGAAGACGGGGAUGGGGCGUGACGGACCGCUAAACCUAGACAAAUAUGGAGGAAAAUGGAGCUUGACGGUCGAGCUUGGAGAGGAGAAACCUUAAGUAGUGUGGCUCGGGCAUUCCAUCGAACACCUUGUGUGCAUAUGAGGUGAGCUAGAGCACCACCAAGCCCUCUCCCCCUCGGCCAGAAAAAACAGAGCAGUGUGCUCUGCUCUUGCGCGAGGGGGUAUAUAUAGGCACCACCAUUGGUCCUGGUUGGUCGCACGAACCGGGACUAAAGGGUUGCCUUUGGUCCCGGUUCAUGCCACCAACCGGGACCAAUGGUGGUGGGCCAGGAGCGAGGACCAUUGGUCCCGGUUCAUCCCACCAACCGGGACCAAAAGGUCCAGACGAACCGGGACCAAUGGCCCACGUGGCCCGGCCGGCCCCCGGGGCUCAUGAACCGGGUCCGAUGCCCCCAUUGGUCCCGGUUCUGGAUUGAACCGGGACUAAUGGGCUGGACCGGCCUGGACCAUUGCCCCCUUUUCUACUAGUGCCUGUACAGGAAAAAAAUCGGACAAAGUAAUUGGUUGAACGCAUACCUUAGGCAAAGGCCCUUUCCAUGGUCGGAUCGCCGUCGCCGCCGUCCUCCGGUGUACAAUCCGGCUAACCACCUCCACUCGAUCGGUAGAAUGCAGACCUAGCCGCGCCGGAUCAUCUCCCGGCACGAUUUCAUCUACCAACGCAGCAACAUCUUCCUCCGAAUAUCCAGGAUUGAACGCCUCGCAGAUCACGUCCGAUGGUGUUGGCGAAUACUCCGGCACCGGAUCGUCUUCGUCCUCCUCAUCUUCCGAGUCCGCUAGCGCCCAGAAUCGACCCCCCACCCGAGCUUCGAUCAUAUCCGGUGACUUCCGUCGGUGGCCGGCGACGGUCGCCCCGGGAUCGCGGCGAGUCGCCCCUUUAAAAUGGAAACAUCUACGUGCACACAUAGGAAACACCUGCACCUUCCUUUAAUUCCUCCUCCUUUCCUAUUCCUCUCCGCUGGCCAUCUCCCCAACGAACGCCUCGUCUCCUUCCCUUCCUCUUUACGCUAGCACCUACGGGAAGAUAAACGUACACGAAGAGAAACUGCCAAGCACUCACGCAAGAAGCUGCCUCCUGUCCUCCUCCAUAAUUCCCAUAAGUGUCCACCGUUUCCAAAACUGAAGGUACAGGGACCUGCACCUCAAUCUCCUCCCUCGUUUCCCUUGGCCCUCUGCCAUCUCUCUUCUCCAUCCUGCCAGAGAACUCCUCUCAAAGAAACAGUGUUCCAUGGACGUCGGUCCUCGAUUCUGAUGAAGGAGACCAUCCCAGUCCAUGCCCUUGCGCCAAAAGGUUCUCCUUCAUGCGUUGAAUCCAUUCAGGGAAGAAAGAACAUGGUCCGUCAAGCACACACGAAGAAUUCUGCAUGUCCGCGUACACUGUUCAUCAAGUUCGUCGCACCAUUCCAUCAAACUCGGUGUGCCUCUAUCAAAUUUCUUUUGCACGCAUACUCAUCAUCAUCUACUCUAUCUCAUAGACAUGAUCAUUCGACUCAUCUAUGUCGUUGCUCGCGCCGAUGCCAUCGGCAUGUCCGCGUACUUUUUAGUUCAUCGGAUAAUCUUGUGUUCAACAUAUGAUUUGUUUCUCGUACCCGUAGUAUCCCCAUGGUGGAGUUAGAUCGCUAGUUUUAUCAAUAGGAUUUUAGUAUACAUUUUGUUAUAGCCAUUCUUGCCCAAGAUUGAAUGGAGUUUGUUCGUCGGCUAAAUUUUAUAUUAAUUUGUUAUUGUUCUUAUGUUUGCGAUAUGCCUAGAAGUGCAUCCUAGUGGUCUCAUAAUUUUUGCGUGUGAUAAAUGGCUUAUUAGAGUUAUUGUUUAUUGUUUACCGAUUAUAGUUUUUGUUGUCGCAAGUUGAUAAUUUUUUGUAUUGUUAUUGACUUGUGUUAGACAUGUCUAUAGAUAUUGAGUAUAGUCUGAUAUGUUUUUAUGUAGAUAAUUUCUUGUAUCAUGUAGUAGUGUGAGACGCUUUUGUAAUAGCUAUUGUGAAUUAUCAUCACGAGUAGUAGUUGAUCGGUGAACUUUUGUGUUAAUUUUAUAUGUUCGGGAUAUAGUUAGGAGUGUAUGCUAGUUAUCUCAUAAUUUUGUGUGUGGCAUGUGACAUGUUAAAUUUAUUGUUUACCGAUUAUAUUUUGUUUAAAAUAAGUUUUGCAUGCUAUUUCCACUUGACAAUUUGGUGUAUUGUGUAUAGUCCUCUUUUAUGCUUGCGUACAACAUUUGGUGAAUGCUCAACAUGCUUAUAUUUAUGUGGAAUUAUUCUAAGUUUUGCUUUAUGUAUCUAAUCGUGAAAUACUUCAUGUUUCAUUUAGUUUAGUUCAUUCACUAGCAUGAAGAUAUCUUAGGUAUAUUUUAUAUAUUGACUUCACCUUUGUUGCAUGUGUAUUUGUCGGCUCUUUUUAUCAUAUCAUGCGAUACUCUAGGUGAUGUUUAUUUAAAUUAUUUGUGUUACCUAGUUUUGCUACUAGUGGUUAUGAAAAGUGGUAUGUUAUCGACCAUAGUCAUAGUACUUGUUGUAGGUCUAUUGUUUGCGUUUAUAUUAUGUGUUAUCAUGCAUGGAGGUCAUUACUUUUGUAGAGUGUGAGGAUUGUGCUUUACAGUUUAGUGCUUCUCAUUUCUUAGAUGUUUGUCAUCCAAGAUUACAUGGUUGGAUACUUCAUGUCAUGGUUAUAUUUGUAUUGCUUUACAUAAUUUAUUUUUGUGGCAUAGAGCAAAGCUUAUAACAUCUUAGUAAUUUUCAUGUGUGUUUAUUUAUCCUUGUUUAUUACCAUGCCAUGUUGGUAAUUGCUUAAAGUAGAAUACAUGGUUUUAUUGUAUGUCCCAAGUGUUGCAACAUUGCUAGUUUGUACUAUAUGGUCACACUUAGGGUUGGCUUUGAAGGAAAUAUGCCCUAGAGGCAAUAAUAAAGUUAUUAUUUAUUUCCUCAUAUCAUGAUAAAUGUUUAUUAUUCAUGCUAGAGUUGUAUUAACCGGAAACAUGAUACAUGUGUGAAUACAUAGACAAACAUAUAGUCACUAGUAUGCCUCUACUUGACUAGCUCAUUAAUCAAAGAUGAUUAUGUUUCCUAACCAUAGACAUGUGUUGUCAUUUGAUUAGUGGGAUCACAUCAUUAGAAGAAUGAUGUGAUUGACAUGACCCAUUCCGUUAGCCUAGCACUUGAUCGUUUAGUAUAUUGCUAUUGCUUUCUUCAUGACUUAUACAAGUUCCUGUAACUAUGAGAAUUAUGCAACUCCCGUUUAUCGGAGGAACACUUUGGAUACUACCAAACGUCACAACCUAACUGGGUGAUUAUAAAGGAGUACUACAGGUGUUUCCGAAGGUACAUGCUGAGUUGGCGUAUUUCGAGAUUAGGUUUUGUCACUUCGAUUGUCGGAGAGGUAUCUCUGGGCCCUCUCGGUAAUGUACAUCACUAUAAGCCUUGCAAGCAAUGUAACCAAUGAGUUGGUUACGGGAUGGUGCAUUACGUAACGAGUAAAGAGACUUGCCGGUAACGAGAUUCAACUAGGUAUUGGAUACCGACGAUCGAAUCUCGGGCAAGUAACAUACCGAUGACAAAGGGAACAACGUAUGUUGUUAUGCGGUUUGACCGAUAAAGAUCUUCGUAGAAUAUGUAGGAACCAAUCUGGGCAUCCAGGUCCCGCUAUUGGUUAUUGACCGAGAAUAGUUCUAGGCCAUGUCUACAUAGUUCUCGAACCCAUAGGGUCCGCAUGCUUAACGUUACGAUGACAAUUUUAUUAUGAGUUUAUAAGUUUUGAUGUACCGAAGCUUGCUCGGAGUCCCGGAUGUGAUCACCGACGUGACGAGGAGUCUCGAAAUGGUCGAGACAUAAAGAUUGAUAUAUUGGACGACUAUAUUCGGACACCGGAAUUGUUCCGGGUGAUUUUGGAGAAAACCGGAGUGCCGGGGGGUUAGCGGAACCCCCCGCGAGAGUAUUGGGCCUUAUGGGCCUUAGGAGAGAGGGGCGACUAGCAUGGGCCGCGCACCCCCUCCCUUCUCUGGUCCGAAUUGGACUAGGAGGGGGGGCGGCGCCCCCCUUUCCUUCCCCUCUCUCCCUUCCUUCCCCCUCCUAGUAGGAGUAGGAAAGGAGGAGUCCUACUCCUACUAGGAGGAGGAUUCCUCCUCCUUGGCGCACCCCAAGGGGCCGGCCGGCCUUCCCCCUUGCUCCUUUAUAUACGGGGGCGGGGGGCACCCCAUAGACACACAAGUUGAUCUACGGAUCAUUCCUUAGCCAUGUGCGGUGCCCCCCUCCACCAUAUUCCAGCUCGGUCAUAUCGUCGUGGAGUUCAGGCGAAGCCCUGCGCCGGUAGAACAUCAUCAUCGUCACCACGCCGUCGUGCUGACGGAACUCAUCUCCGGAGCUUUGCUGGAUCGGAGCCCGGAGAUCGUCAUCGAGCAGAACGUGUGCUGAACUCGGAGGUGUCGUACGUUCGGUGCUUGGAUCGGUCGGAUCGUGAAGACGUACGACUACAUCAACUGCGUUGUGCUAACGCUUCCGCUUACGGUCUACGACGGUACGUGGACAACACUCUCCCCUCUCGUUGCUAUGCCAUCACCAUGAUCUUGCGUCUGCGUAGGAAAUUUUUUGAAAUUACUACAUUCCCCAACAGGCUUUGCUUAGUUGAGAUACAUGAUAGUAGUGUAUGAUUCCAUCUUGCUUGAUCAAUUUGAUACCAUGAUGUUGUGACUAGGUAGGUAGAUGCAUAUUGUGUGUGUCAAAUCAUGUUAUAGAUCAUCCCUAGAUAUGUAGCUUAUGUCAUUACAAGUGUAAAUUGUACUUGAUAGUAAGGCAUGUUGUCUUUGUUAUUCAUGCUAUGAUAUUCAUUGCAUGAUAGUCAUGUUAGUUGAUAUCAACUAAGUUAUCUCAUAGUUAUACUUUGGCAACUCGCGCGAUCAUCAUCCAUGCUUAGCAUUAUAUCUAGUUGUUGCAUUGUUGUAUGUCUAGCCAUAGUCAUGCAAGUGAUCUUUCAUAUCUUAUGAUGUUUCGUGUGUUAUUGUUUCUUAGUGUCGUUCUUCUUAUAGAUGUUUAAAUUUGUUACAUCUUAGUCUUAUGAGUGUUUUAAUAUUUGUUGCUCAGACUCAUACAAUUAGGACGAGUCAUAUGUGAUGGGAGUAGAGUUGUGCUUUGUUCACACACUCAAUGCCUGUAUCAUGCUUUGUUAUUGUAAGCAUGUGGUGAUAAUAUUAUUGCUUUAUUGGUAUUAGUUGUUCCUUAUUAAGACCAUGUCAUAGUUUAGAAUCUUCUCAUGAGCACUUGUAUGUUGAAUGCUUGUGUUAGUUCAUUCAUCUUUAUGAUCGUAUACUCACAUGGCAUGGGUGAGAUGUGUAUUAUUAUUAAGUUGUUUAAUUAGUUGGUACCAUAGUAGCGGUUUGUCUGUUGUUAUAGAAAUGCUUACUAAUAGUUAUGAUUGAGGUUUAGUAUUUGCUUGUUAUUAACCAUUAUAAAUAUUUGAAUUCAGUCAAAUAUUUAUUUUUGGUUGAUUAAUAAUCUUAAUGAUAUCAUGUCUAGGAUAGUUGUUCAUCCAUUGUUCCACGUGUUGUAUAGUUUCUUGUCAAUUGUUUGACUAACGAAUUGUAUUGAUUUGAUGGAGUGGAACCUAUUUUAUUUUCAUAAUGGUUGAGCUAGACCUAGAUCAAUUCAAUUAAUGUUGUUGAAUGAUGUUUGAUUGCUUCAAUAGUAUGUUUUAUAAUGUUGGUUUGGUUGUCGUAUAGAACACUUGUUUUGAGUUAUUAUAGAGUUAAUAUAUAUGUUUGGAUUCGAUUGACCAUUAUGAAUAUUUAGAUUCUUGCUAAAUAUUUGUUUGUGGUUAUCUUUUGCAUUUAUCAUGCCAUGUUUUGUUUGUGUAUAUAAAAUACAUAGGAUGAUUCCAUUAAUUCUAUGCUUGUUGGUGCCAUUGUGUUUGUCAUAUGGUAGUUUCCUAUAUUGUUACUCACGAUGUGUAGUGGGCACUACUAAUUGUCUGAUAGCAUAGUUCUUACUAGAACAUUAGUCUUGAUCACCAAGCCUUCCGUAGCUGUGUCAACCUAAACCUUGUCGUUUAAUCAUCUCUCUUACCUCCCAAUCAUGCUACCUCGUUUUGAAUUUCUAUCUAAUCAAUAUCUUGCUAUCAAUCCACUCUUAUUGUUGUUUUGGAUGUUAUUGGGAUUUUCUAUUUGCUUUGGUAUUUAUUGUUUGUCUUUUGCUAUCGUUAUGACGAGUAGGGAGUGACGAGGUUGGCAUGGACAGAAACAGGUUACUGAAGAAGGACUCGACAACGAAGGCAUGUCUCCUUCUUGAUCAUACUUAUCCGAUGGUUUACCCAAUUGCAUUGAGUUUUCAUUGUUAUUAUAUGCAUGCUAUUUUAAUCUUGUAGCUAGCGUGUCGAUUGACACAUUACCUCGAUCCGCUUGUCGCCUAUUCACUUGACACCUAAGUAGAAGUAUAAGGUUCCGGUAGAGUAGAAAUGCUUAGCCAUGCUUAUCACCCUAUAGGUCCCUUGUUGAAUGACCCCUGAGUCAUUGACAGUUGAAACUUAACGCUGUGCUACGCCCUGUUGGCCCUUGUUGACCUUCUCUAUUCUCUUCUACUCUGGGUGAAACUUACCAUCUGAAUACUAGCGCGGGCGACAGCUGAAUCAAGGAUUGAAGGAGCGAUUGGCUGCCCUUCAUAAAUGAAGGGGGCAAUCAGUCGUUUGUGCCGCAUGAGGCCUAAUAAGUCUUGGAUUUGAAGUUUGUGAUAACAGUACAACCACAUGCUAUACGGGCACUGGCUUGGUUAAUUAGUUAGUUCAUUCUUAUUGUCGUCAUCGCCGUACCGCAGAUGGGACAGCUGCCUUGCAAGGAGUAUCCUCGGCACAAAAGGGGGGCCCGGACUGUGAACUGCGGUUACUCCUGUGUUGAAACCUAGUGGGCUUGGCGCAAUAAGUUUGGUCUUAUGAAAGACCUCGUCACAAUCUCCCUGCCGGUACACCAAAUGGAGUACUAUACCGGCGGCCACUGGUGGCAACAAGUCGGGAUUGUGUCGUGUGGGUAAAGUGUACAACCUCUGCAGAGUGUAAAACUAUUCGAAUAGCCGUGUCCACGGUCAUGGACAACACAUGAAUCUUUCUUGACGUACGGGACCUGUCUUGCUUAUUCCCUCUUUGCCCCUAUUCUUGAAACCUAUGAAGGACGUGAGUUGAUCGAGGAUCCUCACUUGAUGAAAGUUAUUCUGGAGAUAAAACAUGUUUUCCUCUAAAACUGCUUUUAUCCAACUACUUUAUUUGUCAAACAAAAUUAGCUUUAUGCAAAUGAGCCAUACCGCCUUCCUUUGAAGCCACAUUUAGACAUUAGGUCCUUCCCAGUGGGAGGCAUGUUGAGUACGUACUGUACUCAUGGCAAUAAUUUUGUUGACAACAGAGUUCCAUGAAGACGAAGGUGAUGACUAUGACAACUAUGGCGAUCCGUAGGAGUGAGGUCACAUGGACUACAUCGACUGCCUGUGGCUGAGAUGGAGUCGCUACGCAUUGUACUUUCUACUGCUUUCUAAUUGUAAUAAAUGUAAUGAGACAUUUCUCUAUGUAUGCCUUGUGGCAAGAUAUAUUUAAACUUGUAAUACCUUUUAUGCAUUGUGCGAUGAUAUCAUUUCGCUGUGUUGUCAACAAUGAUCCUGGGGUUGGCAAAUAAACACAGGAGGGUCUGGAAGUUAAUUCCGGUUUCUCACAUAUACCCCUCGCCCGCGAGCAGAGUACUCCACUGCUCUGUUUUUCUCUGGCCGGGGAGGGGAGGGCUUUGUGGUGCUCUAGCUCACCUCCGAUGCACAUGAGGUGUUCGAUGAAAUGCCCGAGCCACACUAGUUAAGCUUUCUCCUCUCGAAGCACGACCUCCGAACUCUAUUUUUCCUGAGAUUUGUCUAGGUUUAUAUUAGCGGCCCGUCACGCCCCGUCCCCGUCUUCACUGUCGUCGAUCGCCCGUGCCGAUCUCGUCACCGGCACCACCGUGGUGAGCCUCUUGUUCUUAUAUUCUUUCUGAAAGAGAAAAAUUCUUGCUUUAGAUAGAUACUUGUCUAAUUUUCUUACUAUUUUAUUGCUUGUUAUUAUAUAGUGCGAUGGUUUUGGUAUCCGCCCCCGUCGGCCCUCGUCCUGUCUAUGAUUCGGAUGUGGUAUAUAUUAUCUUUAUAACUAUUGUUUCAUUUAUUGUUUAUGAAAAUUAUGCCGACCAACAUGACAUAGAUUUUAUUUAUCUAGGAGGUAUGUGAACCGGAAAUUCCAACCGACCCUAUUGUCGACAGGUUAAAUUUAGUUGAAGAAGAAAACAAUUUCUUGAAGGAAAAAAUAAAAAAAAUCGAGGAGGAGAAGAUGAUAUUGGAGUUGCAUGUUGCGCAUGUCGUCGAUGAUCACAAGAUCAAGAUGGAUGCAAUGCGCUUGAAGAUUAGAAAGAUUAGAAAAUAUGCCAUUCAUACCGAGGCUUGGUAUCAUUAUGCCGUUGGAUCAAUUGUUACCUUGGUUGCGAUUAUGAUCGCAUUUGUUUUCGCAUUGAAAUGUUUUACAUACUUUCAAUUUAUGGUUUAAUUAAUUUAGAUGCUCUGAAGAGCUUUAUGUUGUUAGAUGAGAACUAUGUAUGUACUUUGGUUUUAAUGUGAUGAUGAACUUUAUUAAUUUGGUCACUUAAUUAUCUAUUCAUGAUGUUCUGUAAUGGUUUUUGACACACUUAAUUAUAUAUAAUGCACGCAGAUAAACUGGCAAUGGAUGUACGGUGACAGACACACCUCCGAGUACAUUAAGGGCGUGCAUGAUUUUCUCGAAGUGGCUGAGGCAAACAAGGAGAAUGGUUUUAUGUGUUGUCCAUGCCCUAAAUGUGGGAAUACAAACUCUUACUCUGACUGGAAAAUCCUUCACACCCACCUGCUUUACAACGGUUUCAUGCCACACUAUAAUGUUUGGACGAGGCACGGAGAAAUAGGGGUUAUGAUGGAAGACGGCGAAGAAGAAGUGGAUGAUGACAACUAUGUGCCCCUGAAUACGGUGAUGCUGCAAUGGGGGAAACUGCUAAAGAUCAAGAGGAACCAGAUGAUGUGCCCAAUGAUGCUGCAACGGGGGAAGCUACUGAAGAUCAAGAGGAACCAGACGAUGUGCCCGAUGAUGAAGAUCUCCGCCGGGUCGUUGUCGAUGCAAGGACAAAAUGCGAAAGUCAAAAGGAGAAGCUGAAGUUCGAUCACAUGUUAGAGGAUCACAAAAAGGGUUGUACCCCAAUUGCGAAGAUGGCAACACAAAGCUCGGUACCGUACUGGAAUUGCUGAAGUGGAAGGCAAAGAAUGAUGUGCCUAACAAAGGAUUUAAGAAGCUACUGAAAAUAUUGAAGAAGAAGCUUCCAAAGGAUAACGAAUUGCCCGACAGUACAUACGCAACAAAGAAGGUCGUAUGCCCUCUAGGAUUGGAGGUGCAGAACAUCCAGGCAUGCCCUAAUGACUGCAUCCUCUACCGCGGUGCGUACAAGGAUCUGAACGCAUGCCCGGUAUGCGGUGCAUUACAGUAUAAGGUAAGACGAGAUGAUCCUGGUGAUGUUGACGGCGAGCCUCCCAGGAAGAGGGUUCCUGCGAAGGUGAUGCGGUAUGCUCCUAUAAUACCACGGUUGAAACGUCUGUUCAGAAACGGAGAGCAUGCCAAGUUGAUGCGAUGGCACAAUGAGGACCGUAAGAAAGACGGGAAGUUGAGAGCACCCGCUGAUGGGUCGCAGUAGAGAAAAAUUGAGAGAAAGUAUUGGGAUGAGUUUGCAAGUGACCCAAGGAACGUAUGAUUUAUUUUAAGCGCGGAUGGCAUUAAUCCUCUCGGGGAGUAGAGCAGCAAUCACAGCACCUGGCCCGUGACUCUAUGUAUGUAUAACCUUCCUCCUUGGAUGUGCAAGCAGAAGUUCAUUAUGAUGCCAGUUCUCAUCCAAGGCCCUAAGCAACCCGACAAUGACAUUGAUGUGUACCUAAGGCCAUUAGUUGAAGAACUUUUACAGAUGUGGAAUGGAAACGGUGUACGUACGUGGGAUGAGCACAAACAGGAGGAAUUUGACCUAAAGGUGUUGCUAUUUGUGACCAUCAAUGAUUGGCCCGCUCUCAGUAACCUUUCAGGACAGACAAACAAGGGAUACCACGCAUGCACGCACUGUUUAGACGACACUGAAAGUAUAUACCAGGACAAAUGCUGGAAGAAUGUGUACCUGGGCCAUCGUCAAUUUCUUCCGACCAACCAUCAAUGUCGAAAGAAAGGCAAGCAUUUCAAAGGCGAGGCAGAUCACCGGAAGAAGCCCACCAUGCGUACCGGUGAUGUACUUACUAUGGUCAACAAUUUACACGUAACCUUUGGAAAGGGUCCAGACGUACUAGCUGUUCCGAAUGACACUGAGGGACACGCACCCAUGUGGAAGAACAAAUCUAUAUUUUGGGACCUACCCUACUGGAAAGACCUAGAGGUCCGCUCUUCAAUCGACGUGAUGCACGCGACGACGAACCUUUGCGUGAACCUACUAGGCUUCUUGGGCGUGUAUGGGAAGACAAAAGAUACACCUGAGGACGGGAGGAUCUGCAACGCUUGCAUGAAAAAGACGGCAUGCCUCUGAAGCAGUAUGAAGGUCCUACCAGCUACGCUCUUACGAAAGAAGAGAAAGAAAUCUUCUUUGAAUGCCUGCUCAGUAUGAAGGUCCCGACUGGCUUCUCGUCGAAUAUAAAGGGAAUAAUAAAUAUGCCAGAGAAAAAGUUCCAGAACCUAAAGUCUCAUGACUGCCAUGUGAUUAUGACACAACUGCUUCCGGUUGCAUUGAGGGGGCUUCUACCGGAAAACGUCCAAUUAGCCAUUGUGAAGCUAUGUGCGUUCCUCAAUUCAAUAUCUCAGAAGGUGAUCGAUCCAGAAAUUGUACCAAGGCUAAGGAGUGAUGUGGCAAAUGUCUUGUUAGUUUCGAGUUGGUGUUCCCACCAUCCUUCUUCAAUAUCAUGACGCACGUCCUAGUUCAUCUAGUCGAUGAGAUUGUUUUUCUGGGGCCCGUAUUUCUACACAAUAUGUUCCCCUUUGAGAGGUUCAUGGGAGUCCUAAAGGAAUAUGUCCGUAACCGCGCUAGGCCAGAAGGAAGCAUCUCCAUGGGCCAUCAAACAGGGGAUGUCAUUGGGUUUUUUGUUGACUUCAUUCCUGGCCUGAAGAAGAUAGGUCUCCCUAAAUCGCGGUAUGAGGGGAGAUUGACUGGAAAAGGCACGCUUGGAGGGGACUCAAUAAUAUGCAGGGACAGAUAUUCUUGGUCUCAAGCACACUACACAGUUCUAUAGAACUGUACCUUGGUGACCCCGUAUGUCGAUGAACACAAGAACAGUCUGCACUCCAAACACCCGGAGCAGUGCGACGACUGGAUUACAUGUGAACACAUCAGGACUUUUAGCAGUUGGUUGGAAACACGUCUCAGAGGUGACAAGACUAUUUGUGAUGAGCUGUACUUGUUGUCCACAGGACCAUCUUUGACUGUAUUGCUUUACAAAGGAUACGAGAUAAAUGGGAAUACAAUUUACAUGAUUGAACAAGAUGUGUCCGCUUUGAUGCAGCAACCGAGAGGGGAAAGGACACCUAUUAUGGUUACAUAGUGGACAUAUGGGAACUUGACUACGGACAUGAUUUUAAGGUCCCUUUGUUUAAGUGCAAAUGGGUCAAUCUGUCAGGAGGCGGGGUACAAGUAGACCCACAGUACGGAAUGACAACAGUGGGUCUGAAAAAUCUUGGGUACACUGAAGAACUGUUUGUCCUAGCCAAUGAUGUGGCACAGGUUAUCUACGUGAAGGACAUGUCUACCAAACCGAGAAAAAGAAAAGAUAAGGAAGCGAAUAGAUCAUACGAUGAGCCAAAGCGCCACAUAGUUCUUUCAGGAAAAAGGGACAUCAUGGGAGUGGAGGUCAAGACAGACAUGUCUGAAGAUUAUGAAAAGUUUCAUGAAAUUCCUGCCUUCAAAGUCAAGGCUGACCCAAGCAUCCUGAUAAACGAUGAAGAUUAUCCAUGGUUACAGCACAAUAAGCAAAUGACACAAGCGAAGAAAAAGUGAAAACUUUCUCCCCCAACUAUUAUGAUGAUACCAUGCCAACUUUAUAACAGACGAAUAUGAUACCAUUGUCCGUUUUGUACAUGCACAUGCUAUGUGGGUGAAAUUAUGAUACCAUGCCAACAUUCAACUUUUUCAUAGUUUAUUUGAAAUGCUUUAAUGUCUUAUGGUUUGGCCCUCGUAAUACCAUUAAUCCCGGUUCGCUCCUUGUCAACUAUGUUCUCACCAAGAACACUCAAGAGGGCAGCCAUGUGGGCCAUUGAUCCCGGCUCCUUGUCCAGGUUCCACGCACGAACCGGGACCAAUGCGCCUCGCCCAUGGCCCAUGACCAUUAGUCCUGGUUUGUGCCACAAACCGGGACUAAAGGGUUGGUCCUCGUUGCGGUCAGAGUUUAGUCCCACCUUGCGAACCGAAGGGCGCUCACACCGGUUUAUAAGUCCCUCCCUCUCUGCCUUGUUGAGCUCCUCUCAAAGUGAAAAUAGAUGCCCUUAUACAGGGAAUUUGACGUAAAUUCAUACUGAAUUUAUCUGAAAUUCAUAGAAACUUAUUAUGAAUUUAGGUUGAAUUUUUAGUAAAGUUAAUCACAAACUUGUGAUUCACACAAAUUUCACAGAAUUCAAAUUUUAACUAUUAAAAUUUGAAAACUAAUUGCACUAACAGAAAGUUUAUAAUUUUUGUGACUUAAAAGAAAAAUAAUUAAAAAUAAACUUUAAUAAAAUAAAUAAAAAAACAAUAAGUAUUUUGUUGUAAGUAGAAACAAAAUAAAAUAAAUAAAGCA